UACGUAGGGUGCGAGCGUUAAUCGGAAUUACUGGGCGUAAAGCGUGCGUAGGCGGUUCGUUAAGUUCGUUGUGAAAGCCCCGGGCUCAACUUGGGAAUGGCAAUGGAAACUGGCGGGCUGGAGUAUGGCAGAGGGGGGUGGAAUUCCGCGUGUAGCAGUGAAAUGCGUAGAGAUGCGGAGGAACACCGAUGGCGAAGGCAGCCCCCUGGGCCAAUACUGACGCUCAGGCACGAAAGCGUGGGGAGCAAACAGG
rnacentral:rRNA from 1 species